UCCCUGGUGGCUCAGAUGGUAAAGAAUCUGCCUGCAAUGCAGGAGACCCAGGUUCAAUCCCUGGGUGAGGGAG
rnacentral:tRNA from 1 species